CCUACGGGAGGCAGCAGUAGGGAAUAUUGCUCAAUGGGGGAAACCCUGAUGCAGCAACGCCGCGUGGAGGAUGAAGGUUUUAGGAUUGUAAACUCCUUUUGUUAGAGAAGAUUAUGACGUUAUCUAACGAAUAGGCACCGGCUAACUCCGUGCCAGCAGCCGCGGUAAUACGGAGGGUGCAAGCGUUACUCGGAAUCACUGGGCGUAAAGAGUGCGUAGGCGGGGUAAUAAGUCAGAUGUGAAAGCCUGUGGCUUAACUACAGAACUGCAUUUGACACUGUUACUCUGGAGUGUGGGAGAGGUAGGUGGAAUUCUUGGUGUAGGGGUAAAAUCCGUAGAGAUUAAGAGGAAUACUCAUUGCGAAGGCGACCUGCUGGAACAUUACUGACGCUGAUGCACGAAAGCGUGGGGAGCAAACAGGAUUAGAUACCCCUGUAGUC
rnacentral:rRNA from 1 species